UCUUGUGCUCUGUUUUCAACUGUAAUAAGCAAGCUAGACUGCCAGAGAGAAUGUUAGGUGUCGGUGUAACUACGGUGAUGGUGGCAGUGGAGUUCUUGGAAGUGGGGUUAAGUACUCUUACUAAAGCUGCCAUUAACAAAGGCAUGAGUGAUUUUGUGUUUAUUGUCUACACUAAUGCCUUUGCAGCUUCUUUUAUUCUCCUUCCAUCUUCUCUUCUCUAUUACAGGAAAAGAAGUCGCCCUCUACUCACUGUCUCCAUCGUUUCUAGAAUCUUUCUUCUUGGGCUAAUUGGUUGUUGUGUGCAGACUUUUAUGAUUACAGGGAUA